UACGAAGGGGGCUAGCGUUGCUCGGAAUCACUGGGCGUAAAGCGCACGUAGGCGGCUUCUUAAGUCAGGGGUGAAAUCCUGGAGCUCAACUCCAGAACUGCCUUUGAUACUGAGGAGCUUGAGUCCGGGAGAGGUGAGUGGAACUGCGAGUGUAGAGGUGAAAUUCGUAGAUAUUCGCAAGAACACCAGUGGCGAAGGCGGCUCACUGGCCCGGAACUGACGCUGAGGUGCGAAAGCGUGGGGAGCAAACAGG
rnacentral:rRNA from 1 species